rnacentral:rRNA from 1 species
AACGAACGCUGGCGGCAUGCCUAACACAUGCAAGUCGAACGAGACCUUCGGGUCUGGUUGCUCACGGGUGCGUAACGCGUGGGAACCUGCCCUUAUGUUCGGAAUAACUCCCCGACAGGGGUGCUAAUACCGGAUAAUUUCUUCUGACCCAAGAUUUAUCGCCUUUGUGUGGGCCGGCGUUGGAUUAGCUUGUUGGCGGGGUAAAAGCCUACCAAGGCGACGAUCCAUAGCUGGUCUGAGAGGAUGAUCAGCCACACUGGGACAGAGACACGGGCCAGACUCCUACGGGAGGCAGCAGUGGGGAAUAUUGGACAAUGGGCGCAAGCCUGAUCCAGCCAUACCGCGUGGGUGAAGAAGGCCUUCGGGUUGUAAAGCCCUUUUGUUGGGAAAGAAAAGCAGCAGGUUAAUACCCCGCUGUUCUGACGGUACCCAAAGAAUAAGCACCGGCUAACUUCGUG